rnacentral:rRNA from 1 species
AGAUUGAACGCUGGCGGCAGGCCUAACACAUGCAAGUCGAGCGGUAGAGAGGUGCUUGCACCUCUUGAGAGCGGCGGACGGGUGAGUAAUGCCUAGGAAUCUGCCUAGUGGUGGGGGAUAACGUUCGGAAACGGACGCUAAUACCGCAUACGUCCUACGGGAGAAAGCGGGGGACCUUCGGGCCUCGCGCCAUUAGAUGAGCCUAGGUCGGAUUAGCUAGUUGGUGAGGUAAUGGCUCACCAAGGCGACGAUCC